rnacentral:tmRNA from 1 species
GGGGAUGUAUUGUUUCGAUGGGAGGCCUUAAAUUUAAAGUUAGCAAAACGAGUUUGAUAUUUGCUCGUAAACUAAAUAUCAAAGCACAUAAGUGCAGACAAAUUUUUAAGCAAAGUAAAAUCAGCCUUCGGCGGAUUUGCUUUUGCUCCUGCUAUUGCUUAAUUGCUAAAUAGCCAUCGCUCUACUUGCGCCUAGGUAGGUAAUCAGCGGUGUUAUAUUUCUAGGACAGAUAUAUUUGUCUAUUCGAACAAAUAUAUUUAAACUAUUUCGAAUGAAAUCAAAUCUGUUUUGUUCUUUUCAAAUGAUUUGAUUAAAAUAAAAGAACUACUUUUGUACACUAGCUUUGGAUUUACUUCCAGACAGGAGUUCAUUACUCCUCAUCUCCACAG